AUUGAACGCUGGCGGCAGGCCUAACACAUACAAGUCGGACGGUAGCACAGAGGAGCUUGCUCCUCGGGUGACGAGUGGCGGACGGGUGAGUAAUGUCUGGGGAUCUGCCCGAUAGAGGGGAUAACCACUGGAAACGGUGGCUAAUACCGCAUAACGUCGCAAGACCAAAGAGGGGGACCUUCGGGCCUCUCACUAUCGGAUGAACCCAGAUGGGAUUAGCUAGUAGGCGGGGUAACGGCCCACCUAGGCGACGAUCCCUAGCUGGUCUGAGAGGAUGACCGGCCACACUGGAACUGAGACACGGUGCAGACUCCUACGGGAGGCAGCAGUGGGGAAUAUUGCACAAUGGGCGCAAGCCUGAUGCAGCCAUGCCGCGUGUAUGAAGAAGGCCUUCGGGUUGUAAAGUACUUUCAGCGGGGAGGAAGGCGAUAAGGUUAAUAACCUUGUCGAUUGACGUUACCCGCAGAAGAAGCACCGGCUAACUCCGUGCCAGCCGCCGCCGUAA
rnacentral:rRNA from 1 species